GGGCAACCCUUAGUAGAGCGGCGCACGGGUGCGUAACACGUGGAUAAUCUGCCUGGAUGCCUGGGAUAACCAGUCGAAAGAUUGGCUAAUACCGGAUAAGCCCACGGUCUCUUCGGAGACUGAGGGAAAAGGUGGCCUCUGUAUACAAGCUAUCACAACCAGAUGAGUCCGCGGCCCAUCAGCUAGUUGGCGGGGUAAUGGCCCACCAAGGCGACGACGGGUAGCUGGUCUGAGAGGACGAUCAGCCACACUGGAACUGAGACACGGUCCAGACUCCUACGGGAGGCAGCAGUGGGGAAUUUUGCGCAAUGGGCGAAAGCCUGACGCAGCAACGCCGCGUGUGUGAUGAAGGUCUUUGGAUUGUAAAGCACUUUCGACCGGGACGAAACCGUAAAGCCUAAUACGCUUUGCCUUGACGGUACCGGGAGAAGAAGCACCGGCUAACUCUGUGCCAGCAGCCGCGGUAAUACAGAGGGUGCAAGCGUUGUUCGGAAUUAUUGGGCGUAAAGCGCGUGUAGGCGGCUUUGCAAGUCGGGUGUGAAAGCCCUCAGCUCAACUGAGGAAGUGCGCCCGAAACUGCAGAGCUUGAGUGCCGGAGAGGGUGGCGGAAUUCCCCAAGUAGAGGUGAAAUUCGUAGAUAUGGGGAGGAACACCGGUGGCGAAGGCGGCCACCUGGACGGUAACUGACGCUGAGACGCGAAAGCGUGGGUAGCAAACAGGAUUAGAUACCCUGGUAGUCCACGCCGUAAACGAUGAGAACUAGGUGUCGUGGGAGUUGACCCCCGCGGUGCCGUAGCUAA
rnacentral:rRNA from 1 species